AGUACAGUACAGUACAGUAGAUCAAACGACUGCAUCGCCAUUGUUUCAGCAACUAAACACAUAAAACGGAGUCGUGUCCUUGGUCGCGUUUAGUCGGACAUUCUGCGUACCGCCAAUGUCGACGGAAAGCGACUUUUAGUACACAUCAUCUCCUUCAUCGUAAUAAUAACAUGGCAGCGUCAUCGAUGUGGGCUCGUAUGAUGUUAAUCUCCCAAUGUCAGAAAAGAGACCAGAUGAACGUGCGCGGUGAAGCCACGCCAGUGCCGACGCACACUCAUAAUACAGUGUGUUCUGCAACUUCAAUGCACUGGUUGAAACAAACUACAUUUUCCCAUUUGAGAUAUAAAGUAAACGACUCAAGACGAGCUUGGCUGAUGCCUCGACACUCCCCAUAUUAGUGGGCAUGAAAGAAGAAUGAAGAGGCCAGGUACCAUACAGUGUAUCACAAAAGAAUUGCUUGAAUGAGAAGAUGAGUCGCAGAGGCCCAAACGCCCAAUGUGCCAGUGUGUGCCCUUCCACUAGCGCGUAGCUGGACACGAGCACCCCGUCCACAAACAAAGUUCCAUCUUGUGUCAAAGCAACAUUCACCCUGGCCCAGCCGGGGAAACAGCCUCCUUUUUCCACCGCAACUGAGUGGUCUGCACACAGAUACAAUUCCAACUCGACCUUCAUAGUGCAGAGAUCCGGCAGGGUGGUGACCAUCCUCAUCCCAGGCCUCUGUCACCCGGAGGUGCACGCCGGGCCACUGGUUCAUCACUGCUAUGGCCAGCCUGUUCAAACACUCCUUACAGCGCUAGAAAAAGAGUCAAACACAGUACAGGGGUUAUUCAGAGUAUAAACCUUAAGCAUGUAAAAUAAAUCAUUCAC